GAAACAACAUUACUUUGGCUUCUAACAAUCAAAAUUCAUUGUCAAUAUGAGUAAUGUUUUUCCAAAGUAAUAUCUCAAAGCUCAAAUCUUAGACAUGCCAAAGGGCAAGACAUCACAAAAAAAACACAAUUCUCCAUUCCCUAGUAACUCUGAAAAGCAUAAAUCCUUCUUCACAGAUCCUGCACGCUCAAACCUGGAGGAAGUGAUUGCUUCAACUUGUCAGCCUUCUCAAAGUCGGACACACAGAGUGUGUAGAGGUACUUGGAGCAGCGAACCUUG
rnacentral:misc_RNA from 1 species